rnacentral:rRNA from 1 species
UACGGAGGGAGCAAGCGUUGUUCGGAAUUACUGGGCGUAAAGGGCGCGUAGGCGGCCAGUUGCGGCGGGUGUGAAAGCCCCGGGCUCAACCUGGGAGGUGCACUUGAUACGGGCUGGCUGGAAUCCGGGAGAGGAUGGUGGAAUUCCCAGUGUAGAGGUGAAAUUCGUAGAUAUUGGGAAGAACACCGAUGGCGAAGGCAGCCAUCUGGACCGGGAUUGACGCUGCGGCGCGACAGCGUGGGGAGCACACAGG